rnacentral:rRNA from 1 species
UACAGAGGAUGCAAGCGUUAUCCGGAAUGAUUGGGCGUAAAGCGUCUGUAGGUGGCUUUUUAAGUCCGCCGUCAAAUCCCAGGGCUCAACUCUGGACAGGCGGUGGAAACUACCAAGCUGGAGUACGGUAGGGGCAGAGGGAAUUUCCGGUGGAGCGGUGAAAUGCGUAGAUAUCUGAAGGAACAUCAGUGGCGAAAGCGACUUCCUGGACCAAUACUGACGCUCAAGUGCGAAAGCGUGGGGAGCAAACAGG